CUACGGCAAAAAGAAAGGGCCACCCGGCAUCACCGGGCGGCCCUUUUUC
rnacentral:sRNA from 1 species